GCCGGGUGUGGUGGUGCACACCUGUAGUCCCAGCUACUCGGGAGGCUGAGACAGGAGAAUCGCUUGAACCUGGGAGGUGGAGGUUGCAGUGAGCCGAGAUCAUGCCACUGCACUCUAGCCUGGGCAACAGAGUGAGACUCUGUCUCAA
ensembl:misc_RNA Metazoa_SRP Metazoan signal recognition particle RNA